UGAGGAAUAUUGCACAAUGGGGGAAACCCUGAUGCAGCAACGCCGCGUGGAGGAUGAAGGUCUUUGGAUUGUAAACUCCUUUUUUCAGGGAAGCGGUACCUGGAGAAUAAGUCACGGCUAACUACGUGCCAGCAGCCGCGGUAAUACGUAGGUGGCGAGCGUUAUCCGGAAUUACUGGGCGUAAAGCGCACGCAGGUGGCUACUUAAGUCUGACGUGAAAGCUCCCGGCUUAACUGGGAGAGGUCGUUGGAGACUGGGUGGCUUGAGGCAAUGAGAGGGGUGUAGAAUUCCCGGUGUAGUGGUGGAAUGCGUAGAUAUCGGGAGGAAUACCAGUGGCGAAGGCGACACCCUGGCAUUGGCCUGACACUCAUGUGCGAAAGCGUGGGGAGCGAACGGGAUUAGAUACCCCAGUAGU
rnacentral:rRNA from 1 species